rnacentral:ncRNA from 1 species
AUAAUGGAGAGUUUGAUCCUGGCUCAGGACGAACGCUGGCGGCGUGCCUAAUACAUGCAAGUCGAGCGGAA